GGGGCUGUGGUCCAAUGGUAAGAUCCUCGGCGUUUCAGUGGAUCUUCCGCUUCGUGGAUGAUUCCCUCUCGGGGGAAGUCCACAUUGCUGAGGGAUGCCGGUUCGAUUCCGGCCUGCUCCA
rnacentral:tRNA from 1 species